UGGUCAUAUCAUAUAACACCACUUUCCGUACAAUCAUCGAAGUUAAGCAACGACGAGCCAGGUCAGUACCUGGAUAUGUGAAUGCUUGGGAAUAUCAGGUGCUGUA